UAGGGAAUAUUAGUAAUGGGCGAAAGCCUGAACUAGCAACACCGCGUGUGCGAAGAAGGCCUUCGGGUUGUAAAGCACUUUUUGAGAGGAUGAGGAAGGACGGUACUCUCAGAAUAAGUCUCGGCUAACUACGUGCCAGCAGCCGCGGUAACACGUAGGAGGCAAACGUUAUCCGGAUUUACUGGGCGUAAAGCGCGUGUAGGUGGUUCUGUAAGUAGGGCGUGAAAGCUCCUGGCUCAACUGGGAGAGGCCGUUCUAAACUGCAGAGCUAGAGGAUGGUAGAGGCAGGCAGAAUUCCUGGUGUAGCGGUGAAAUGCGUAGAUAUCAGGAGGAACACCAGUGGCGAAAGCGGCCUCCUGGACCAUUCCUGACACUCAGACGCGAAAGCUAGGGUAGCAAACG
rnacentral:rRNA from 1 species